CCAACACCAUAUUUCUGCAAGGAGAUGGCUUAGAAACAGCAAACGCUCCGAGAUGAAGGUCCAGAUCGUGUGGUGUGUGGCUGUUUCUCUCUUGGCUGCAGGGCUUGCAGGCAAAGAGAUCCGCCAGGUGCCAAGCUUGAUGGUGAAGGAGGGCGGAAUAGCCCAGCUGGAAUGCAGUCAAACUUACGGACACGAUAACAUGUAUUGGUACAAGCAACAGCCCCAGGGGUUGGGCCUUCAGCUUCUCUAUUACUCCAUUGAACAUGCUCCGGAGACCAAUGAAAUCAAGUCGGACAGAUUGACAGCUCGUCGGCUGGAGAAUAAAGUAUUUUGCUUGAACAUCUCCUCGGCCGAAGCAAGUGAUACAGCCAUGUAUUUCUGUGCUAGCAGCAGAUACACAGUAGUCAGGAGCUCUUCCUGCAGUGUGCAAUAA